rnacentral:lncRNA from 1 species
GUACUCAUCCAGGUGUAUGAGGUGAAAGGGCCAUGACCAAGGACAACAACCUGCUUGGGAAGUUUGAGCUCACAGGCACCUCCAGCAUCACGUGGGGUUCCUCAGAUUGAGGUUACUUUUGACAUUGAUGCCAAUGGCAUCCUCAAUGCUCUGCUGUAGAUAAGAGCACAGGAAAGGAGAACAAGAUCACCAUCACCAAUGACAAGGGUCGCUUGAGUAAGGAGGAUAUCGAGUGCAUGGUCCAAGAAGCUGAGAAGUAC